GAUGAACGCUGGCGGCGUGCCUAAUACAUGCAAGUCGAGCGAACGGACGAGAAGCUUGCUUCUCUGAUGUUAGCGGCGGACGGGUGAGUAACACGUGGAUAACCUACCUAUAAGACUGGGAUAACUUCGGGAAACCGGAGCUAAUACCGGAUAAUAUUUUGAACCGCAUGGUUCAAAAGUGAAAGACGGUCUUGCUGUCACUUAUAGAUGGAUCCGCGCUGCAUUAGCUAGUUGGUAAGGUAACGGCUUACCAAGGCAACGAUGCAUAGCCGACCUGAGAGGGUGAUCGGCCACACUGGAGCUGAGACACGGUCCAGACUCCUACGGGAGGCAGCAGUAGGGAAUCUUCCGCAAUGGGCGAAAGCCUGACGGAGCAACGCCGCGUGAGUGAUGAAGGUCUUCGGAUCGUAAAACUCUGUUAUUAGGGAAGAACAUAUGUGUAAGUAACUGUGCACAUCUUGACGGUACCUAAUCAGAAAGCCACGGCUAACUACGU
rnacentral:rRNA from 1 species